rnacentral:misc_RNA from 1 species
GAUGAAGAACGUAGCGAAAUGCGAUAAUUAAUAUGAAUUGCAGAAUUCAGUGAAUCAUCGAGUUUUUGAACGCACAUUGCGCCCUCUGGUAAUCCGGAGGGCAUGUCCGACCGAGCGUCACUAGCACCGCCCGAGCCCCCCCCAGCGAUGGGGGCGGCCCGGUGUUGGGGACCGCGGGGCCUCGCACGCCCCGCGCCCCCGAAAAGCAGCGGCGGCCCCAUCGCGGCAAGCCCCCCAGCGGAGUAGAACCUUACCUCGCCCGGGAGCGCCGCGCACUAGGCGGGCCCGGCCACCAGGAGGGGGCGUCAGAACCCCCCCCCGAACCCCCAAAACUCACCCGGUUGGCCUCGGGUCGGACAAGAUUACCCGCUGAACUUAAGCAUAUCAAUAAGCGGAGGA